rnacentral:rRNA from 1 species
AUUAAUAGUUUGGCCUGCUCACUGACAUAAUAUAAUGUUAAAGAGCCGCGGUAUUCUGACCGUGCAAAGGUAGCAUAAUCAUUAGUUCUUUAAUUGAGAACUUGUAUGAAUGGUCGGACAAGAGAAACCCUGUCUCUACUAUUAUAAUAGAAUUUAACUUUUAAGUGAAAAGGCUUAAAUUUUUCAAGGGGACGAUAAGACCCUAUAAAGCUUUAUAUAUUAAUCAGAAUUAAUUAAAUUGAAUAGAUAAAAAUUUAGUCUUAAAAAUAUAUUUAGUUGGGGCGACGAAAGUAUAAUUGAUAAUAACUGCUUAAACUUUAUACAAUAAUAAAUGAUUUUUUUUUAAUUGAUCCUUUUUAAAGAUUAAAGAUCAAGUUACUUUAGGGAUAACAGCGUAAUUUCUUUUGAGAGUCCAUAUCGAAGAAGAAGUUUGCGACCUCGAUGUUGAAUUAAAAUAUCUUUAUAGUGCAGCAGCUAUAAAAAGAAGGUCUGUUCGACCUUUAA